UAACGCGUGGGUAACCGUGCCUCAUACAGGGGAAUAGCAGCUGGAAACGGCUGAUAAAACCGCAUAAGCGCACAGUGCCGCAUGGCACAGUGUGAAAAACUCCGGUGGUAUGAGAUGGACCCGCGUCUGAUUAGCUGGUUGGUGGGGUAACGGCCCACCAAGGCGACGAUCAGUAGCCGGCCUGAGAGGGUGAUCGGCCACAUUGGGACUGAGACACGGCCCAA
rnacentral:rRNA from 1 species